rnacentral:rRNA from 1 species
GAUGAACGCUGGCGGCGUGCCUAAUACAUGCAAGUCGAGCGAACAGACGAGAGUGCUUGCACUCUCUGACGUUAGCGGCGGACGGGUGAGUAACACGUGGGUAACCUACCUAUAAGACUGGGAUAACUUCGGGAAACCGGAGCUAAUACCGGAUAAUAUUUAGCUUCGCAUGACGCAAUAGUGAAAGACGGUUCUGCUGUCACUUAUAGAUGGACCCGCGGUGUAUUAGCUAGUUGGUGAGGUAACGGCUCACCAAGGCAACGAUACAUAGCCGACCUGAGAGGGUGAUCGGCCACACUGGGACUGAGACACGGCCCAGACUCCUACGGGAGGCAGCAGUAGGGAAUAUUCCGCAAUGGACGAAAGUCUGACGGAGCAAUGCCGCGUGAGUGAAGAAGGUGUUCGGAUCGUAAAACUCUGCUGUAAGGGAAGAACAAGUACGUUAGUAACUGAACGUACCUUGACGGUACCUUACCAGAAAGCCACGGCUAACUACGUG